UACCCCCGCACAACAAAGUUGUAAGGGGGGUAUACCGGAAUCAGCUUGUCCGUCCGGCCGUCCGUCCGGCUGUCCGUCGGUUUUUUCUUGUCCGCCCAAUAACUUAAGAUUCCUUUGACCCUGAGUCUUAAUAUUUGGCAUGGAGGUUAGUCAUGAUUAGUAGAUGACCCCUAUUGAUUUUGAGGUCACUAGGUCAAAGGUCAAGGUCACAGAGGCCUUGACUUCAAAAAGCUUGUCCGCCCAAUAACUUAAGAUUCCUUUGACCCAUAGUCGUCAUAUUUGGCAUGGAGGUUAGUCAUGAUUAGUAGAUGACCCCUAUUGAUUUUGAGGUCAAAGGUCAAGGUCACAGGGACUUUGACUUCAAAAAGUUUGUCUGCCCAAUAACUUUAGAUUCCUUUGACCCACAGUCUUCAUAUUUGGCAUGGAUGUUGAUCAUGAUUAGUAGAUGACCCCUUUUGAUUUUGAGGUCACUGGGUCAAAGGUCAAGGUCAUAGGGACUUUGACUUCAAAAAGUUUGUCCACCCAUUAACUUAAGAUUCCUUUGACCCACAGUCUUCAUAUUUGGUAUGGAUGUUGAUCAUGACUAUAAGGUGACCCCUAUUGAUUUUGAAGUCACUGGGUCAAAGGUCAAGGUCACAGGGACCUUGACAAAUAAAAGCUUUUCUUCUCAAUUGUUAAAGAAUGUCCUGUCCGCAAUGUAUUGAUUUUGACAAUUUCACAUUUGAAGCAUGUACAAUACAUAACUUAGCAAUGCACUGGCUUAGUAACCUCAGAUUUGGCAGGGAGGUUGUCCUUGAGCUCUAAAUGGCUACUGUUGAUUCUGACAAAGUGGUAUGCGGGGGUAUUCACGCCAUGAUAGUGGCAGUUCUAGUUUUUA